rnacentral:rRNA from 1 species
UACGAAGGGUGCUAGCGUUGUUCGGAAUUACUGGGCGUAAAGCGCGCGUAGGCGGUCAUGCAAGUCAGGGGUGAAAUCCCGGAGCUUAACUCCGGAACUGCCUUUGAAACUGCAUUGCUGGAGUGUGUGAGGGGAUAGCGGAAUUCCUAAUGUAGAGGUGAAAUUCGUAGAUAUUAGGAGGAACACCGGUGGCGAAGGCGGCUAUCUGGCACACAACUGACGCUGAGGCGCGAAAGCGUGGGGAGCAAACAGG